GAUAAACGCUGGCGGCGUGCCUAAUACAUGCAAGUCGAGCGAACAGACGAGGAGCUUGCUCCUCUGACGUUAGCGGCGGACGGGUGAGUAACACGUGGAUAACCUACCUAUAAGACUGGGAUAACUUCGGGAAACCGGAGCUAAUACCGGAUAAUAUAUUGAACCGCAUGGUUCAAUAGUGAAAGACGGUUUUGCUGUCACUUAUAGAUGGGUCCGCGCCGCAUUAGCUAGUUGGUAAGGUAACGGCUUACCAAGGCAACGAUGCGUAGCCGACCUGAGAGGGUGAUCGGCCACACUGGAACUGAGACACGGUCCAGACUCCUACGGGAGGCAGCAGUAGGGAAUCUUCCGCAAUGGGCGAAAGCCUGACGGAGCAACGCCGCGUGAGUGAUGAAGGUCUUCGGAUCGUAAAACUCUGUUAUUAGGGAAGAACAAAUGUGUAAGUAACUAUGCACGUCUUGACGGUACCUAAUCAGAAAGCCACGGCUAACUACGUG
rnacentral:rRNA from 1 species